UUUUUUAAUGAAUGGUCCGGCAGGUUGGUUUUGGUGGCCUCAGGUGGCGGCUCGAAGUCAUUGGACUCGGGCGGCAUCUUCGGAUUCCUGGCCG
rnacentral:lncRNA from 1 species